rnacentral:rRNA from 1 species
AUGGGGGUCGUCGGGAACCCAGUGGAGCAACGGAUACAGCAAACAGGGCGGAGGCACCAUGGAUGGAGCUUGCAGCUCGGGCAGGGAGGUGGAAGUACAGAUGCUGCCAACAGCAGCAGAUGUGCAAGAGGAAGAGCAAGUCGCCGAUGGAGGAAGCUGGCAGCGGCCCGGGCAAAGGUUUGGGCGGAGCUCCUCUGGUUGGACGCUGGGGCGAAGAGAUGGGUGCGGGUGCACGUGCAGAGGCUCAGGGUCGAGCUACUGACGCUCGACGAAGACGGCACAGAAGUGAUGGAGGAGGGCUGA